rnacentral:rRNA from 1 species
GACGAACGCUGGCGGCGUGCCUAAUACAUGCAAGUCGAGCGCAGGAAGCUGACGGAACUCUUCGGAGGGAAGGCAGUGGAAUGAGCGGCGGACGGGUGAGUAACACGUAAGGAACCUGCCUCAAGGACUGGGAUAACUCCGAGAAAUCGGAGCUAAUACCGGAUAGUUCAACGGACCGCAUGGUCCGCUGAUGAAAGGCGCUCCGGCGUCACCUUGAGAUGGCCUUGCGGUGCAUUAGCUAGUUGGUGGGGUAACGGCCCACCAAGGCGACGAUGGAUAGCCGACCUGAGAGGGUGAUCGGCCACACUGGGACUGAGACACGGCCCAGACUCCUACGGGAGGCAGCAGUAGGGAAUCUUCCACAAUGGACGAAAGUCUGAUGGAGCAACGCCGCGUGAGUGAUGAAGGUUUUCGGAUCGUAAAACUCUGUUGUAAGGGGAGAACAAGUACGAGAGGGAAUGCUCGUACCUUGACGGUACCUUACGAGAAAGCCACGGCUAACUACGUGCCAGCAGCCGCCGUAAGAC